UACGUAGGGGGCAAGCGUUGUUCGGAAUUAUUGGGCGUAAAGAGCUCGUAGGCGGUUUGUCGCGUCUGCUGUGAAAACCUAAGGCUCAACCUUGGGCUUGCAGUGGGUACGGGCAGACUAGAGUGCGGUAGGGGUGACUGGAAUUCCUGGUGUAGCGGUGGAAUGCGCAGAUAUCAGGAGGAACACCGAUGGCGAAGGCAGGUCACUGGGCCGCAACUGACGCUGAGGAGCGAAAGCAUGGGGAGCGAACAGG
rnacentral:rRNA from 1 species